rnacentral:rRNA from 1 species
AUGCAUGUCUUAGUACAAACUCUAGCACAGUGAAACUGCGAAUGGCUCAUUAGAUCAGUUAUGGUUCCUUAGACGAUACAAUCCUACUUGGAUAACUGUGGUAAUUCUAGAGCUAAUACAUGCACUCUAGCUCCGACCCUUUCGCGAGGGGAAGAGCGCGUUUAUCAGUUCGAAGCCAGCCGGGUUGCAAGACUCGACACUUUGGUGACUCUGGAUAACUCUAGCGGAUCGCACGGUCUCGAACCGGCGACGCGUCUAUCAAGUGUCUGCCCUAUCAUACUGUCGAUGGUAAGUGCUAUGCUUACCAUGGUGAUAACGGGUAACGGGGAAUCAGGG